rnacentral:rRNA from 1 species
GACAGAAGGUGCAAGCGUUACUCGGAAUCACUGGGCGUAAAGCGUCUGUAGGUGACUUCCCACGUCUGGUUUUAAAUUUCGGGGCUUAACCCCGUCUUCGAACUGGAAACGAGGAGGAUUGAGUCAUUCAGAGGCAUCUGGAAUGUCGUGUGUAGGGGUAAAAUCCGUAGAUACAGCGAUGGAACGCCAAAAGCGAAGGCAGGAUGCUAGGAAUGUACUGACACUCAGAGACGAAGCGUGGGGAGCAAAGGG